CUGGAAUGAGGAUGUGAAGAUUUAGCAGCUGUUUUGUACCAUGAGGCAGGAGUUUGAGGCCCUGACUGCGGAACCACCAAACUCACCCAGACCUGUCGAGUCCAUACCUCUCCCCCAUUGACAGGCUAAAGGAAGGAAGGAAAUAAACACUGAAUUUCAGGGAAAUCAUUUUGUGCCAGGAGACAUGCCCCUGGGGCCCACGGUGGUGUAUCUGAAGAGCUUCCGGGAAGGGUGUGGACAAAUGAAGGAAAUGACAUCGCUUGCCUCUGGAUCACUGUGACAAUGGAAGUGCUCAGCACCUGGUACCUAACAGACUCCCUCUUCUCAUCCGCCAUCAGUCUCACUGCAGGGAGCCCACUCCCGGACCUGCUGGAAGAGGCCAGAGGCCAGGCGGUGCCAGCAGAAUGCCGCAGGAGCUCAGAGGCGGAGGAGGCAGCAGCCCACGGCCUGGCCUGUUUCUAGACUCUGGAUUCGCGCACAGGACCCUCCCCAGCUGGUCCUUUCUCUCCCGUGGAUGGGGCUGGGGGCAGCGAGUGAGUGUGCCCAGCUGAUGGCGGGCUGCAGAAGACGGGAGCCACAGGACUGAGGCGCUUCCAGAAGCACAGGUGUGGGGCUUGGCAGAGGAGGCCCGGCUGGUUGCUAUGGAGAGAGAAAUGUUAUGCAGUUAACUUGGUUGACUGGCGGCCUUGAGAAAUACCCAUGUCCCUCUGGGGCCUCAGAGCCAUCCAUCACUCCAGAAAGGCUCUUUUCAUGAUGAGAGUUAUCUAUUUGGCUAAUAAAACUGAA